rnacentral:rRNA from 1 species
GGAUAACCUACCUAUAAGACUGGGAUAACUUCGGGAAACCGGAGCUAAUACCGGAUAAUAUAUUGAACCGCAUGGUUCAAUAGUGAAAGACGGUUUUGCUGUCACUUAUAGAUGGAUCCGCGCCGCAUUAGCUAGUUGGUAAGGUAACGGCUUACCAAGGCAACGAUGCGUAGCCGACCUGAGAGGGUGAUUGGCCACACUGGAACUGAGACACGGUCCAG